AUUUUAGGUCUGAUCCAGUGCGUCAAGCUACGUCCGAUACAGGAACAAGGACCUCGAAUUUAUCCUAUGUGAUCGAUUCCAGCGAAGAUUUUGCUGAACCAUUUGCCGGAGGUAAUUCUUCGAGCGGUGGUCGGAGCCUCUAGUAGGAACUGACAUCGAAGCGGGGCUAGGAGAACAUGACCGACUAUGGUGUUCAAGCAAAAGUUCAUCAGUUCAUUUACAAUCAGUGCUCAUUUGUCGGAAUUCCAUAGAAUUGUGAAAAAAUUUGUUCGCAUUUUUAUUUUAUCCAAACGAAUCUCACGAUUUAAUAAUUUAUUCAGGUGCACCUAAGGUGCACUAGCCUCAUUUCUUUUUUGGACACCAGAUGUCAUGACCAAAGUGGUCGUUCACAAUAUUCCCUUGACAAUGAGUUCGCUCACUGUCUUCAGCUAAAACUUCGUAUUCUGCAACUUGAUUUGUGAAUACACCUGAGACACCCAGGUAUCAAGUUCGGCGCAAAGGCGACUCGAGCAGUCGAAAAAGUCGAAAGUUUCCAACUACGUCGCUUAACCCUAGUCAGGGUACCAGAUCGGAAUGUAAUGCGUAUUUGUGUUUUGUCGUGUGAACAUAUAUCUUAUGCAAUUGUUUAUUAAUUACGAAUAAAUAUUCACUGUCUA